ACAAAAAAUGUAUUCCAAAGCAUACUUCAGUAAAUAAAAUCUUGUAGUUAAAUGUCUUUAAAUCAUUUAUGUUAAUGAUCCAAUUCAUUCCAUACUGUAUCUACAGUGCGAGUAAGAAUCCAGAUAUUUCUAUCAAACUUGGGAAUCCAGAUAUUUCUAUCAAACUUGGAUGCUGAAAUGUUCCUAAGUAACUAUUUGAAAAUUCACAAACAAACCAAGGGUAGAGUGUAUAUAUAAUGCAGACGUAAGGCUAAAAAAAUUUGUUACCUCCGACUCAGCAUUUUAUGAAGAGAGGGAGAUACCCUUGCUUUUGAUGGGCAUAACAGAAUGUUCCAAGUUCAAUAGAUUGAUUUUUCUGAAUACUCUCUUUUUGCAUAUAAUGAACAUACCCAUAAAGUUUUUUCCUCUUCCGUGAAAUCUUUUAUACCGUGUACAGUUGAGUAGGAAAACAAUCUAAAGUAUAAAAAUAAAGGACAUCCCUGAUGCUUUGCUUAUUAAAAUCGUUUAACCUAUGGAGGGGUAAAAGAAACGAACAUAGGACAAAGAACACGGGCAGUGGGAAAAAGAGACACCAGUUCAUUGAGUAUGAAUUGCCACAAUGUGUGUUUCUUCAUUAGUGUACUACACACUUUUUCUAUUGACUAUAUCCUUCAUUAGAGUGAAAAAUUUAUGGCUGCAAGUAAAUGUAGAUUUGACAUUGAGGAUGAAUAACCACAGGUGUGUGUGCCUGUUUCUUAGUUUGUUUUCUUUCUUGUUGAUUAUGGAUUAAAAUCAUGAAACAAGUGAUGCCAACAAAAUUAUGAUAAUCCAUGAUCCUAAUAGAAUUAUGAGUUGCUCUUCGGAUUAUCCAUACAGGACACCUUACAUCAUGCAAAAAUAUAAAAAACAAAUAGGGAUGAAGAGGACAAAAGAAAGUUGACAGUGGAAUUGGGAAGGAGUAACAAUUGCUUUUGGGAAUAUCUUUUAUUUUUUAAACUUUGCAUUGAAUCUAAUAUACCAUCUUUUAUUACUCAAGACAAUUAAAUAUCAGGUCAAUGAUUCAAGGAAAAUUUGCUCGAAAAUUGGCUCUUGAUCUACGAUUAUGCCUUUCUUUUUCUACAGUGUAAUCUUACACGAGUUAUUUAUUAUGUGACUAACCAAUGUCCAACUUUUGAAGUAGAUCCCAUGUAUAUAUGUAAAUCAUUUCUAUUGAAUGGUUAUGGUGAAUAAUGAAGUGCACUUGUUAUUACAUUUUUACCAAUAUAGAGUAUGAUUAUUUUCCUUUGAC
rnacentral:lncRNA from 1 species